AUUCUGUGUGACUAGGCUACAUCAUCCCCAUUCUGUGUGACUAGGCUACAUCAUCCCCAUUCUGUGUGACUAGGCUACAUCAUCCCCAUUCUGUGUGACUAGGCUACAUCAUCCCCAUUCUGUGUGACUAGGCUACAUCAUCCCCAUUCUGUGUGACUAGGCUACAUCAUCCCCAUUCUGUGUGACUAGGCUACAUCAUCCCCAUUCUGUGUGACUAGGCUACAUCAUCCCCAUUCUGUGUGACUAGGCUACAUCAUCCCCAUUCUGUGUGACUAGGCUACAUCAUCCCCAUUCUGUGUGACUAGGCUAAAUAUUCUCCUGCUGUAUUUCAUGUUGGCUUUUCUCUCCAACAACAGACACCUCUUUGAAAACACACGUUCACAGACGAAACAUUUCCCUAGCAACUAAAGCCUUCUCCUCCCCUCAUUAAUGUGGGUUAGCAUCUCAUCAUCCUUACCUCAAGGUAAACUAACCAAGACUAGAAAUGUCCAAGGAUCGUUAGCCCUGUCAGGGGCCUCAACCAGCUCCUCUGACUAGCCCUGUCAUACUGAGUUCAGACAGAUCUGAACCAGCCAGGUUAACAGAGAGAUGUUCAGACAGAUCUGAACCAGCCAGGUUAACAGAGGGAUGUCCAGACAGAUCUGAACCAGCCAGGUUAACAGAGAGAUGUUCAGACAGAUCUGAACCAGCCAGGUUAACAGAGAGAUGUUCAGACAGAUCUGAACCAGCCAGGUUAACAGAGAGAUGUUCAGACAGAUCUGAACCAGCCAGGUUAACAGAGAGAUGUUCAGACAGAUCUGAACCAGCCAGGUUAACAGAGAGAUGUUCAGACAGAUCUGAACCAGCCAGGUUAACAGAGAGAUGUUCAGACAGAUCUGAACCAGCCAGGUUAACAGAGAGAUGUUCAGACAGAUCUGAACCAGCCAGGUUAACAGAGAGAUGUUCAGACAGGUCUGAACCAGCUCGGCCAGCAGUGGAUCUGUACAAAGCAAGAGAAGCCUUGAUUGUGAUCUAGCAGUGUCAUUACAUUGGCGUGGUCCCGUGGCGGUGCCUGUGUUGCCAUCGGAGGGCUCCUCAGCCAUAUCUGUCCC